rnacentral:siRNA from 1 species
GAAAGAUGUGGAGGUUCACUGUG